GACGGAGGGUGCUAGCGUUGUUCGGAAUUACUGGGCGUAAAGGGCGCGUAGGCGGCCUGGUCAGUCGGGUGUGAAAGCCCGGGGCUCAACCCCGGAAUGGCACCCGAGAGGGUCAGGCUGGAGACCGGGAGAGGAGGGUGGAAUAGCCAGUGUAGAGGUGAAAUUCGUAGAUAUUGGCUGGAACACCGGUGGCGAAAGCGGCUCUCUGGGCCGGUUCUGACGCUGAGGCGCGAAAGCGUGGGGAGCAAACAGG
rnacentral:rRNA from 1 species